CUUCUUCUUCUUCUUCUUCUUCUUCUUCUUCUUCUUCUUUUUUCUUCUUCUUCUUGUCUUAUUGUAUUAGUGAAGACUUCUAGUACAAUCAGUGGUAAGAGGGAACAUCUUUGUCUUCAUCCUGAUUUAGGGGAAAAGUUUCUGUUUUCUAACCAUUAUAAAUGAUGUUAGCUGUAGGCUUUUUGUAAAGGUACUUUAUCAAGUUGAGGGAAGUUUCUUUCUAUUCCUAGUUUGCCAAGGUUUUUUUUUUUUUUUUGGUCAUGAAUGGGUGUUGGAUUUUAUCAAAUGUUUUUUAUGCAUCUAUUGAUAUAAUCAUGUGAUUUUUUGUUGUUCUUUAGCCUGUUGAUGUAGUUAAACCAUUGGUUGACUUUUGUUUAUUGAAUAAGCCUGCACACCUGGAAUGAAUCCCACUUAAUUAUAGUGUAUAAUUCUUUUAAAAUGUUCAAUUUGAUUUGCUAAUUUUUUUUGCACUUGCUGUGCUAGGGAUUGAACCCAAGGUUUUACCACCAAACUACAUUCCCAGCCCUGGUUUGCUAAUAUUUUAUUGAAGAGUUUACAUCUACAUUCAUGAGAGAUAUACUGAUUCCUAACAGGCUGAGAACCAGGACUGGCUGGGGACCCCUGCAUUGGUGAAACAUGUAUGCAAAUGCCAUGUGAGACAUCCCAUUGUGAAGGUAAAAUUAAAAAGAAGAUUCCCAUUUGGCAUUUUCUUUUUGUUGUGUGUCACCUUUUCAGGUAUCUGCCCAGCUGGCAAUGACCCUUACUGGAGACUCUUGAUCAAUGAGACCUAUAGAGUUGGGCUCCUAGUCACUUUGUUUAUGGAACAUAAUUCUGACCCUCUUCUCUCACCCUACAGAUCUCUUAUUCAUUGGCUUUUAUAUCCCAACCACUAACUACAGUGCUUGGAACAUUUUGAGUGGCUGAAAAAUAUUUGGUGAAUUGAUGAUAUUGAGGAUUGGGAGUAAUGGAGAGAUUCCUCCUGUGCUUGAAGGUGGAAUUAUAAUAUGUGGGCCCCAGGGCUGUGAACAGUUGCAUCCAUCAUGGGGACUGUGGAUCAGCUGUGUUAGUCUACUUUCCAUCACUAUAACAAAUACCUGAGACAAUCAACUCAUAAAGAGAAAAGCUUUAUUUUGGCUCACAGUUCUGGAGACUCCCAUCCAUUACUGGUUAGCAUGUGACAUGACUACUUUGAACAUGUGGCAAGGCAACACAUCAUGACAGCAGUUCAUGGUGGAGCAAAACCACUCACCUUGAGACCAGAGAGCAACAAGAGAAGAAGAGGAAGGGGCUAGCAUCCCAUAAUCCUGUUCAAGGGCACACCCCAAUCACCUAACAACUUCCCUCUUGGGUCUACCUCUUAAAGUUCCACCACUUCAAAUGGAGACUUGGGAUCAAGCCUUUACCACACUGGCCUUUGGGACGUGCUCCAGAUCCAAACUAUAGCAGCAGGGAAAUAGAGAAUUCUGGAGAGGGGAACUUGGGCUUACUCUCACUUGUUCUCUUGUUCCUGAUAGCAGAACUUUCACAGACCAAGCUGCAGACCUCUAUAUUUGAAUAAAUUCCUUUGUUUGUUGUUGGGGACUAGGCUACCUAACUUAGAUCCCACAGUCUCAAGUUCAGUAUUAUCUUGCCUUGAGAACAGGGAAGUAUGUGGAAGGUUGGAUGCUCCCUGGCUAUGGGCAGAAUGCUGAUAACUUGGCACUCCUGAGGCAAGACAGUAUCUGCUGAGGACAGUUGUCAAUAUACAGGCAUUUGGGUGUAGAGAAAAUCUGGUUCAUCAUUAAUUUAAUCCUUAUCCAUCCAUUCCCUAUAGUUGCUGUUCCAUGAAACUCAUGCUACCCCUCUCUCUGUACUUUCCACUGGCUAAUAAAAGUGGGCCACUGCAGAGUUUUAUUGGAAUCUGUCUGCUUGAGGCAGGUUUCCUCCCUGUCCCCCCUUUAAUAUCUUGGAAACUGUCACCGUCUUUUUAUUCCUCAAUGUUCCCUCCAAAAGGUAGCUGAAGUUCUGACCAGCCCUCAGUACUUUGUGUUUAAACUAGGUCCAGGAUGUUAGUCCAAAAUAACACAGAAAGUCUAAGUAUGACUGACAGAGGAGUGAGCCAUUCACUACUAGUGGCCAUGGAGCUAAGACAACCUGUGUCCCAAGAGAAAUUUAGCAGUGUGAUAGCCACAGCCCACCUCUUUCUCUCCCAUCUGUCUGAACUCAGAAGUGUGUUCUGACAGUGGUGCAUGGUCACUGGCUUAGCAUGCUGGGUGGAGGGGAGCACGACAUAGUUAAAACAAUGAAACCCUGUUCUUCACGAAGAUCUUUGAUAAUGUUAUACAGGAAAUAUCAUGGAGCCCAUGUUAGUGCACUAAAAGCAUGGCCUCAGGUGAAAUUUUUUUGUUCUACUACCUCAAAGUCUAGGCAAAUGAAUACCUUUCCUCAUCACCAUAGCAUCACAGAGGAACUUAGAGAGAUUAUAGCAGGGUUAGAGCAGAAAAUUGGGCAAGCUGCAAAAUCAUGGAUGCAGACUAUGACCCUGCUAAUCAGUCAUGGGUGGAAGGUCUUUCUGUAAAGGAUAUUGUAAGUGCAGGGAAUGCCCUAUGUUCUGUGUUAUUAAGAAGCGACUUAUAAGAGAUACAGCUGAUGAUGUUUCAGUAUUUCAACUCUGAACUCUGAGUAUUUACAAGACGAUUCAUAAUUUUCUGCAGUUAAUAUUAAACAUGCCACUAAAAGGCAGCACAGAAUGGUGGUGAACACAAAGAAUUCAGAUGACAUAAGAGAAUACCAGACAAAGCCGGGACCCAGGCAUUUCCCCCGGCCACACCCUAUUUAAUAUUUCACCAAUACUAAUGAGAAGCUGUGACAGUGGCUGGUUGCAAAGCCACUCUAUAAUAUCAGCCAACCUUGCAGUCUCAGGGCACACAGCAGCUCAGGAUUAUUCUUCAACCCUGAUUGCUGUGGAUUCAGCUGUAGUUCCACCCUCCUCAUCCCGCUAUUCAUCCUUCCCUCUCAGGUCCAGAUUCCAGGAGCAGUUCCUGUUUGGGACACACUGUUCUCAUACAGAGGGCAGAGCCAAUGUGAAUCCCUGUUCACUGAAGCAUUCCCACUACCUACUCUCAUUUAAUUGGCCCAAACAAGUCACAUGCCCACGCCCAACUUCAGUGAGGGAGGAAGUUCAAUCUCCCAGGGGCAGACCCCUAAGUUUGGUUGAGUCAGAAAGGGGAGGAAUAUUUUGACAGUAAUACAAUAUAGGAGAGAUAAGGCUGCAUUUCCAGAACUGCAUCUUCUAUUUAUGGGAGUCUAACCUAUGCAUAAAUGUUUAAGUUAAUUUUGAACCUCAGUUCAAAAUGUGGGCUCCAUCAUUUCUAAUGAUUCCUUUUGUGGCACUCACAAUUUUGGGUAUUACAGGAUGCCCUCUCUCAGGCAUUAAUCAAACCAUAGGAUGGGUCUGAUAAAUCCCAACUGGCAGCUGCAGGCAGAAUUCUGAAAGUGGGAAAAUGAUUUCAGUGGUGUAAGUGUGGCCAGCCUGUGGCAGAAUGACCUGGAGUGCAGGUGAACAUGCAGAUUUCUGGGCUCUGCCUUAGCGUGCUCCACUCCUGUCAGAGCACAGGCCUGGAGCUCUGGUUCUCAGGGCUGCCAUAAGCAAGGCGGUGUGGACUUUCACAUGCUCUGCCAUGAGUCCAGCUAGAGUGUGAGGUUUCCUGGAAGAUCUGGGAGAAGGAAGUAUUACUAUGGAAUGGUUUCUAAUGAGGGCCUCUAUCCUUCCUUCAAAUACGUAUUAGUUUACAUACUUUACUAUUUUUCUUGUAAAUCAACAUCUGUGAAUCAUUUUGUCUAUUUUUAGAAAUAAAAUGUGACUACAUUGAACAAUGUUCUCAUUAAAAAAAGUUUUCUUACAACAGUAACAAUUUUUUAAAACAUAUAUUUUUAACUACUUUUCCUCAACAAUGGACAUUUGGAAACAAAUCUGGGAUGAAAAUGUAAGUUUCCAAGCCUGAUUUUUUUGUUUUUUUGUGAGGUUGCAUUUGAUUAAAUGUUUCAGUUAUUGAUCUCUAGGAUGUAAAAGUUUAUAUUCUGACUGGGCUCUGCUUUUGAUUUUUCAGGGUUGUUUUAAGAGAAAGACCACAGUGUCCCAUGCAGGAUGGUUUAGUUUUAGAGUUCUAUUGUGACAACCUCUGCAGCUGCCCAGGUCAUUAAAUUCAGUACACUUCUGCUUUCAACUAAAAGUUUCCUGGCCUUGCAUUGCUGUGACUGGGCCUGGUCUAGCAGCCUGGUGGCAUUAGCUUCCAGCUCACAUCAGGAUGGUUCCAGCCCCUUUUGGUGUGAGUCAGAAAGAAUGAUGUGCUGAGGUGAAAAUACUCCUAUCCCCAGACUCCUCUAUAUGGGAGCAGCCAUGCCACCCAGUUCUGGCCAGUGAUAUUGCAACAAUCUGUGAAAUGGGGCUUCUGAUGAAAAUGGACAGUUAGUACUGAAGAUUGAACCCAGGACCUUUGCAUUGAACUUCAUCCCCAGCCUCCUCCAGUGCCAAGCCUGGUGCCCAGCACAGUGCAGCUCUGUUGAUCACAAUGGAGUGAGCUGAGCUGCACACGAUGACCUCUCUGGCAGGACGCUGGCGUGGAGGGAAAAGAAGCCCAGAGCAAAUUCCAGCCCUGGCCUGCAGCUCAGAUUUGACCUCCCUCUACUUUUCUCAACACUAAUCCCAGGCCCGUGUUAUGAUAAACUACUUGCUCCUUGUUCAGCAGUACAUUCAGGAACUGGACAGCCGCCAAGGAAAACACAGGGGCAGUGGUGGACUAUUGAAAUAAAUGAGUAGCCUAUGAUAAAUAUAGGAAAAACAGUGUUAGUUAAUACACUUAUGCGCCAACAAAAUCACAUACUAUUUAAUAGGGGGAGGAGUUUUAACAUGAAUGCGUAUGGCUUUAUGUAACAAGGUUGAUUUAAAAAAGAAAAGACAACAAAUAAUCUACAACCUUUUUAGCCAAGUAAAUGCUGGUUCUUCAAAGUCAGUAUUAGUGUGGUGGGAAACAUCAGUUGCCUAAAACAGCUCUAUUAUUCUUGAUGGAGGUCUUCAGAGCUGGAAUAGGAGGAAAAUUAGAUACAUUACUUGAUAAUUUAGCUUUUUGGUUUCAAGUCCCAAAUGGUAUCAACCAACUUGAUUACUGGCCUGGUUCACUAGACUUGGCUCUGAAUUAUUUUUAACAGUUUCCAGGAAUUAAAUCCACCUUAAAAACAAAACAAAACAAAACCAAAAAACCUCACACAAAUCUUGCUAUUUCUCAGGCAUGAAAAAAAGGUCUUGUAAGUUCUGGUGUUCCUAAGGGAGGUUCCCAAACUCCCUUUUUCUGAGCAGGAAAAAUCCCUUUGUUGACCUCACAGGUGAUUUCUGCAAAUGUGCAAGUUUUGAUUUCUUUGUUUGAAGAUCUGUCAUGUCAUCUUAGGCUCAGCCUUCCUCCUUAUUCACACUCUGCAGACUGUCAUCAGGUUUGGUCUGCACAAAAUAGUUGACCUGCAUCAAGGAAUUUAAAUUUUGAAUACCAGACCAGCCAUGACAUUCAGAUCAGUGGGAGACUUUGCAAAUCAAUAUGCAAACCUGAGCAGCCCACAUGGGUGUCUCCCCAACUGGCUCUCAGCAGGAGGCACAGGUUAUGCAAUAACUGAACUCAGCCUGCUUUCCUUCCAACUCAGCAUAAAUCGCUUGUGUGCAGGCGUGAUGGUGCCAAGCCCAGCAGCGAAGGCUAAUUGAGAACCUCGAUGUCUGCCUUCCUGACAGUAGAAAGCUUCGACCUGCUUCCAGGUGACAGUACACACACUUCCAGCAUGAACUCAAAACCCCAGCUGUCUCACCUGUAGAAAAUGACAUGUGCAUAUUACUUUUUUAAUAGGAUUAUUUGCAAAAGAUUAUACACAACAUAAAUCUCCAUCAAUAGGGGCCUCGACCAAUGUAUUAUGGAGUAGAAUAUAUGCAGAUGCAUAGGUAUGUGUAUGCACACAUUUGACAGUUAGUUUUAUAUGUUAUUUUGGUUGAUAUAUCCAAGGGAUGUCCAAGUGGCUAGUAAAAUGUUACUUCUGGAUUUGUCUCAGAGAGUGUUUCUGGGAGAAAAUUGCAUUUGAACUGAUGGACUGAGUAAGAACAUCUGUCCUCACCAGUGUGGGCAGGCACAUUCAAACUACUGAGGGCCUGAAUAGAACAAAAAGAUAGAUGAAGGACAAAUUUCCUUUGCUUUAGCUGGGAUACACUUCUUAUCUUGCCCUUAGACAUUCUCGGGCCUUUGGAACUGGACUGAAAGUGCCAGAUGUGGACUGGAAGUACAGCUCUUUUUUUGUUUCUUUGUUUAAGCAACAUAUUCUCUCGCAGUUCUGUAGGCUGGAAUCUAAGAUCGAGUUGUCUUCUGAGACUCCUCACCUGGGCUUGCAGAUGUGGGUCUUCUCCCUGUGUCCACACUUGCUCUUCCCUCUGUGUGCCUGUGUCCUCAACUCCUCUUUUUCUCAGGGCAGUUGUCAUUUUGGAUUAAAGCUCACUCUAAUGGCUUCAUUUUAAAGGAAGUCCCUCUUUAUAGGGCAAAUCUCCAGAGAGAGCCACAUUCUAAAGUAUGAGGUUUGGGCCAGGUAUUUAGCUCAGUGGUUCUGCCACCUGCCUCACAAGUGUAAGGUCCUGAGUUUGAUCCCCGGUAACAAAAAAAAAAUUUUUUAAUAAAAAAAAUAAAGUAUGAGGUUUAACAUCCUUUAGCUAAAAUGCUUGGGAUCAGAGGCAUUUUGAAUUUUUUUCUCAGAUUUUGGAAUAUUUACAUAUAUGUAAUUUGAUACCUUGGCGGAUAGAACUCAAAUCUAAACAAACGAAUCUGUAUCUCAUGUACAUCUUAUGCAUCCAGCCUGAAUGUAACUUUAUACAAUAUUUUCAGGGUAACUACACCUGGCCUGACCUGUCCUAUGAGGUGAGGCAUGGAGUGUUCUGCUUGUGGUAUCACAUCAGCACCCCCUAAAAAUUUCAGAGCCCUUCCUGGGCCUCUAGCUCACAGAUGGCAGGUGGUGGCACUUGUUGGCCUCCAUAAUCACACGAACCAAUCUUUCAUAAUAAACCUCUUCCUAUGUACCAUAUCUACGCAUAUCCUCUUUGUUUUUCUGAAGAAUUCUGUAAUACACAUAUAUGCAUAAGUUCCAUGUAUGCAAAUAUCUCCAAGAGAUGUUAAGUAAAAAGGAAAGUUGAAGAAUAGUAUGUGUAGUAUGCUACUAAGUUUUUCAUAUGUGUGAAAAACUCUGGAAGGAUCUUCAAGAAAUAAAUUCUGUUGGCUUGUGGGUAAAGAAGCUCAGUGGCUGAGGGACAGACGCAGAAGAAAGAUUCAGCAAUUUUAAAUACUACUUGAACUUGAAAUCAUAUGAAUGUAUAGCCCAUAAAAAUAGUUGCCUUAAAAAUAAAUGACACAUAUCAAUUGACAGAUGAGUAGAUAAAUAAAAUAUGGUAUAUGUGUAUGUGUGUGUGUGUGAUGUGUGUGUGUUCAUCCCUUUAAAAAAUGAAAUUCGUACAUGUGCUGCAACUUGGAUAAACCUUGAAGACUGUAUGCUAAGUGAAAUAAGGUGGAUGUAAAAGGAAAAACAAGGCAUGAUUUCACUUACAUGAGAUACUUAGUAGAGUCAAAUUUACAGAAACAAAGCAAAAUGGUGGUUGCCAAGGCUUGAGGAAGGCAGGAAUGAGGAGUUAUCAUUUAAUGGGUAGAGAGUAUUAGUUUUGCAAGAUCUAAAGGAUUUUGGAGAUUACAUGUACAAUAGUGUAAAUGAUUUUGUCAUUCUACACAAGGAACACCCUAGUUGCAGUCACCUAGAGGAUGUGUUAGAGCAAGGGUCCCCAAACCCCAGGGCCACAGACUGAUACUGGUCCAUAGCCUGUUAGGAACUGAAUCACACAGCGUGUGAGUGGCAGGAAGGGAGAAAGGCUUCAUCUGUAUUUACAGCCACUCCCCAUCAAUCACAUGACCACCUGAGCUUUGCCUCUUGUCAGAUCAGCAGCAGCAUUAGAUUCCCACAGGAGCACGAACCUUACUGUGAGCUGGGCAUGUGAAAGAUCUAGGUUUUUUGUUUUUUACAACAACCUAAUGCCUGAUGAUCUGAGGUGAAGCUGAGGCAGUGAUACUAGCUGAGGGAGUGCCUGCAAAUGCAGACUCCUAUUAGCAGCGAGGUUUGACUGCGCAGAGACCAUAAUAAAUCAAUUGCUUACAGAUUGAGAUCAAAAUCCAUCAGUGAGCAGCAAGUGACAAUUAAAUUGCAUCUGGUGGCAGACUUUAAGUCUGCCCACUAUCUUUGUUACUUGAGUCUCCAUUAUGGUGAGUUGUAUAAUCAUUUCACUAUAUAUUGCAAUGUAAUAAUAAUAGAAAUAAAAUGUACAAUAAAUGUAAUAAUUCUGAAACCACUCUUCCUAUCCUGGUCUGUGGAAAAAUUGUCUUUCAAAAAAACAAUUCCUGAUGCCAAAAAGGUAGGGGACUGCUGUGUUAGAGGACUUUAGGGCUCUGCUCUGCCUGGUCUUUCUGUCAGCUUUAGCAAGGCAGAUUAUCUGAUUGCUCUCUGCUUUUGUUUUUUAAUCUGAAAAAUAGAAGUAUGAUUUUCCAGUCCUGAUACUUUAAUUUCAUUAUUGAGUAUUGAUGUUCCUCCACUCAGGCUCCCAGCCCUUAUGAUAAUAUCAACCCCCAGG
ensembl:lncRNA